rnacentral:lncRNA from 1 species
AUUUGGGGGCUGGGAGGGGUCAGGAAUUUUGGGGGGGAGUCGCAGGGGGGUCAGGAAUUUGGGGAGGGGUCUGGAGGGGUCACAGGAGGGGUCUGGGGGGUCCCUUGCCUCUGUCUCCUUGCGCCGGGGAGGAGGAGGAAGGAGAGGGGGAGCAGGAAUUUGGGGGUUGGGGGGUCAGGGUUUUUUUGGGGGUUGUGAGGGAUUUUGGGGGGGUGUGAGGGAUUUUGGGGGGUGAGGAAUUUGGGGUUCAGCGCUCACGUCCUGCAUGAACUUGCGGCAGACGGGGCGGAUCUCCUUGCUGAGCGUGGCGCUGAACAUCAUCACCUGCUUCUCGUGCGGCGUCAUGCGGAAAAUCUCCUGCACGUCCCGCCGCAUGUCUGCGGGGCAGCGUCAGCACCAAAAACACCCCAAAAUGCCCCAAAAUGGCCCCAAAACCAGCCCCAAAACCCCACGUCUCCUGCACGUCCCGCCGCAUGUCUGCGGGGCAGCGUCAGCAGCGCCCGAAAACGGCCCAAAAGGACCCAAAACGGCCCCAAAACCCACAAAAGGACACCCAAAAUGCCCCGAAACAACCCCAAAAUGCCCUCCUA